rnacentral:misc_RNA from 1 species
AAAAAAGAGAGACGUAGGUCCGGAGAAUGACUUUUUUCUGGAGGAAUAGCGGUACACGGAGCCACGUAGAUCCUCAAACGACACCGGUUUAAAAUGGAUUUAUCUUUUUUAUUUUCAAAUACAUUUAAUAGUCAUUGACCGUUGGAUCAGGCCUAGGGCUGAUCUUGCAAACCUUCCUCGUCGGAGAGCGAGAAGCCCUGAUUUAUCGAUUUGAUUUUCCCGGAAAGACUUCAGUUAUCGAUGUCAAAGAGAAGGAUGCUCGAUUCUGUAUCCAAUUUGUUCUUUUUACUUUUGCCACUUUUCAUCCUUCAAUUUUUGUCUGGAAUUUCAGCAAUCAGGUAAUUAGUGCUCUUAAUUUCUAAUUUAGUUUUCUUGGGCCUUCUGUUAAUUUUUUUUUUCAAGUUCUCUGUGUCCUGUGUUUGGUUACUGAGAAAACAAAGGAAAGUAACUUAAUAAGUUUUGCUCUUAAAAAGAGCAAAAAAUUGUAGACAGACAUUUUAAUGUUUAUUUAAUUGUUUUUCCUUGUAUGGGAGUACUAAUUUCAAAAUUCUGAUUUGGAAAUGCGUUGAGUAGUUCUAACUUUUUCCUUUAUUAUCUUAUUUACUUUCUUUAUUUGGGCCAUUCUGCUUCUUCUGGUAGAAAUUUUGUGGUAUUUCUUGCUAUUGCAUUACAGGAAGGAUAUUGGCUUUCAAGAAAUAAAAAUUUGCAGAAAUACAGUUCAAGGAAGAUUUUUACUAUCUGAUGACAACGGCCAUGUAUGUGAUGCUUUAUCGGUGGAUCCACAGUCCCGCUGCUGUCCUGAGAAAGGAGAGAAAUUCUCUUGUCAUGGAUGCAACCUUCUUUCACAGUGUUGCAAUUCCUAUGAAUUUUGUGUUUCAUGCUGCCUGAAUCCUGCAAGGACACAAGAAGAAGAAGUCAUAAAGUUGAAAAUAGCCAAGCCAUCAACUGCAGCGACUUAUGCAAGCAUUUUUUAUUUCUGUGCUGGGAGGUGCCGUCAUAAUUCUGAGAGUGUGGUAAGUGUUAGUUUUUGUUUCUAUUCUGUUUUCUUGUGGAGUUAAAUUGAUGGAAACAUUGUGUGGAUUGAUGUCUGUUAGAGGUGACAGGAGUAUUUUGUACAGAAUGUUGGCUUUGAGUGAGGGGAUUGCUGGAUGGGAAAAGGUUGUGAUCUAUGUUGUGGAGAUGAAACUUGUUAGCUUACUUAUUGAUGGUAAUGAUGGUAGCCAUAAUUGAUACUAGCUAUGAAAUUAUCAUCAGAGUCAAAUAUGUUAAUGAGAAUUCCGGGCUUAAGAUACAUAUACAAACAACCUCCACCCAGUUGUCUUACAAAAUGCUAGCAUUAACAGAAAUUUUAUGACUUCUUUAUGUGAUUUCAAAUCAUCCAAGUUUGUUAAGAUAUACUAGAUGUCAUGUUGCACCUGAACUAAGUGCGAAUAUUGCAGGUUCACGAAAAUGCCUAUCUUAGUGAUUUCCAUCAUUGCUUUUCCUUGCCAUCAAAUCCUUCAGGUGUGUGGCACUUUUCUUCUUCUUUUCUCCUCCCCCCUGUUGUGUUAUUUUUCAGCUUUAAUCCUUGGCAUAUCUUAGCAUGGGAAUGCUUAACUCGAACAACUUAAAGUUCAAUCAAGUAGAACAUCCUUCUACUUUCUGCAUGCACGUAAGCUUGAUGAACUGACUUUUCUUCCUAUCUUUAAUUCUUUUUUUUUUCGUUUUUUUUCAGAAGUCGGGUGAUGUGUUGGGUGAAGGAGGGGGAUAUUUAGCAGUAUCUAUUUAGGCUGAAUAUAGAAAUAAGCCCUUAAACUAUUUGAAAAAAGCCCAGUGGACUUUUGAUCUUUUAUUUUUGACCCAUUCCACCCCUGAAUUUCUAUUUUACAUCCUUCAAUUUUUAAUUUUUGUAACUAAUAGGCAAAAUUUUUCAAAUUUAUUGAUGAAAAAUACUAAAUACACCACUUUAUAUGUCUUUUUUUCCCCUUUAUAUAUCCUUUUUCCAUGUUAUAAUUGAUUAAACUUGAUGAUUUAUUCAAUUAUUUAUUAUUGA